GGUGUGGCCUUGUUGGAGGAAGUGUGUCACUGGGGAUGGUCUUUGAGGUUUCAAAUGCUCAAGUCAGGCCCAGUGUCACUGUCUCGUCCUACUGCCUGCAGAUGC
rnacentral:miRNA from 1 species